rnacentral:rRNA from 1 species
CAAAAACAUGUCCUUUUGAGUAUUAAUUUAAGGUCUGACCUGCCCACUGAUGUAAUUGAAUGGCCGCAGUAUUUUAACUGUGCAAAGGUAGCAUAAUCAUUAGUCUUUUGAUUGAAGGCUUGUAUGAAUGGUUGGACAAGAUACUAGCUGUAUCAUAUGAAUUGAUUUAGAAUUUUAUUUUUUAGUUAAAAAGCUAAAAUUUUUUUAAAAGACGAGAAGACCCUAUAGAUCUUUAUAAUUUAAUGGUUUUGGUUAUUUAGAAGUUUUUGUCUAUAAUUUAUUGAAUUAUUUUGUUGGGGUGACAUUAAAAUUUGACUAACUUUUAAUAUUUUUUUACAUUGAUUAAUGGGUUUUUGAUCCUGUAAUAUAGAUUAUUAAUUUAAGUUACCUUAGGGAUAACAGCGUAAUUCUUUUAGAGAGUUCUUAUCGAUAAAAGAGAUUUCGACCUCGAUGUUGGAUUAAGAGACAGGUUUGGGUGCAGCAAUUCAAAUGUUAAGUCUGUUCGACUUUUAAAUUCUUACAUGAUCU